CAUGUAGGCGGGAAUCUAAGUCUGUUGUUAAAAUGCGGGGCUCAACCCCGUAUUGCGAUGGAAACUGGGUUUCUUGAGUGCAGGAGAGGAAAGGGGAAUUCCCAGUGUAGCGGUGAAAUGCGUAGAUAUUGGGAGGAACACCAGUGGCGAAGGCGCCUUUCUGGACUGUGUCUGACGCUGAGAUGCGAAAGCCAGGGUAGCGAACG
rnacentral:rRNA from 1 species